GGACGAUAGUUACUUUUUAUCUUUGACUUUAAAUUAUUGUUAUUCCCUGUGUCAAAUAUCGAAUCCCCGAAGAAAAACACGGCCGGUAUAGUUUUGUUUUCUGGCUUAGGUGGUAAUGGGGCAGGUGGGCUAGGUUUUGGUUUUGGCGAUGGAGCAGGUGGGCUAGGUUUUGGCGACGGGGCAGGUGGUGGUACAGGUUUCGGAGCUGGACUAGGUGGUGGCGGUGGUGGCGGUGAUGGGCCUGGCUUUGGUGAUGGAGCAGGUGUUGGUGGUGGCUUUGGUUGCGGCUUUGGUGGUUGAGGUGGGCAUGGAGUUGGGGCAGGUGCUGGUGGUGGCUUUGGCUGAGGCUUAGGUGGUAUUGGUGGACAUGCCGAUGGACCAGGCGGUGGUGGUGGCUUUGGUUGAGGCUUAGGUGGACAUGCCGAUGGACCAGGCGGUGGUGGUGGCUUUGGUUGCGGCUUAGGUGGUGGGCAUUGAGAUGGACCAGGGGCUGGUGGUGGUUUUGGUUGAGGCUUAGGUGGUAUUGGUGGACAUGCCGAUGGACCAGGCGCUGGUGAUGGCUUUGGUUGCGGCUUAGGUGGUAAUGGUGGGCGUGGAGAUGGGCCAGAUGGUGGACCAGGAUUUGGUGAUGGGCCUGGUGGUGGGCCAGAUUCUGGUGGUUCCAUUGGCCAUGGAUACGGCCAAGGCAUUGAUGGCCAAGGUAUUGAUGGCCACGGCCAGAGCCGUCGGUGGACUACUUGGGCAUGGGACGUUGUCGCAAAGAAGAUACAAAAGGAUAUGAGAAAGACAACAAAACGAAAUAGCAUCGAACAAGAAUGGACCAUAGAAGAUUGCUUCAUGCUUUUACUACGAGUAGUAGUAAGACAACUUCCACUCAAGCGAUUUCAACCGUCAUGUCAAUAUGAAUAUCAAUCUGCGUGUGCCUAUGUAUAUAUAUGCAUUACGUAAACUAGGGCAUGCAAUUUAUGUGGCCGUGUUGAAGAUGCUUGUGUGACACGGCUUCUCAUCACACAUUUUGAGACCUUCAUUAUAUUCCAUUUCUAGUCGGAACUUAACUUCUCUCAAGUAUCUUUCGUGACUUCUCGGAACCUAACUCUCGCUUAAGUAUCUUCAGUAUCUAGAGAUUAAACCCAAAAGAUAUCAUCAGUUAAUUUGAUUUUUGGAGUUAGGGUUAUGGCUAUGUAAUAUACUAGUCAGUUUCCCACACAAGACACAACUUAGAAUCAAUAAUGUAUAUGAUUGGGUUGGCCAUUUUAAAGAUUGUUGGCCUUUUAAUAUGAUUUUAACCUUUAGUUAUAAUUCUAUUUCAGCCGAUCCAUCUUAUCUCUUUGUAAUUCGAUUAAGUGAAACAAGAAGGAUAAUGGAUUAUGUUUAUUGAAUUGAAUCAUCACAUAAACAAAAAGCGUAGGUCGUUAGAAGAAAUUCAACAUCAUUUUUACAUUUGAUUAUUUAAUUAGCGCAGCUUCUAUAUUUUCAAAGAGGAAAAAGUUUCAAUGAUAUUUUUCCCAUCAUCCCAUAAUAAAAGUUGCCCUAUAAAUUAAGCACUCAUCUUUUUUUAAUUCCUUGUUCCAUGUUAAUAUUAUACGUAUCAUACCAUAGUCAGGAACUAAAACAUUAUACCAACUAAUGUUCCAAAAAAUACAUUAAACCAAAUGAGUUACAGCUUUUAUUUAGCCAAAUUAUAUCAUCAACGGACACAUCUUAAAUCUACAUUUAUUUGUCAUAAAAAGGGCUCAUGUCAGUCUCUACAAACUUUUUGGUUAAAAUUCUAUAAGCUCUUUCCGUUGGAUGGUAACUGUCCCAAAACAUAUAAGAAGAUACAUUGCUGCAAAGAAGUGAUGUAAAUUGGUUGCAAAGCGGGCCUAAUUCGACCAUCCCUGUCCCGCAACAUCCUCUAUCAAUCUCAUCAAAUCCUGCAAAAUUCCCCCCAAAAAUGAAAAAAAAAUAAUAGUCUUAAGCUCAUUCACACACAACAGUAGUUACCACCUUUUUCAUUCUUUCAUUCAAAAAAAAAAACAGUAGUUACCAUAUUCUUUGGGGUUUUGGAUCAUAUGAGCGAAGAGAGAGUAGAUAUCAAUAUACACCAAAGUGGCGUUUUUCAAGGUCUCGGCCACUGAAUGCAAACUUCUUGAGAGUUUGGUAUUGAAAAGCUGAGCUGCAACGUUUAUUUCAUCAAAACACUUUCUCUUAAGUCCCCCUCUUGCGGUUCUUUGUAUCGGUAUACACCCGAUUGGCGAAACACCAAUGAAUCCUAUCUUUCUUGCUCCAGAUUCAUAUAGUUGCUGCCAAAUUUUGAUCACUCUAUGUUCAUCAGGUUUUACUUUAUCUGGCUCAUAUAAUUUUCAAAUUUCAACAUACCAUAGCGAAACUUGAAGCAGAGCUAGCCAUAUAAGAGGUAUAUGCAUCGAUGUCAUAUAAUAAUUCUUCUGCAUGUGUACCAUAGUAUGUGUUAGCUAGAUCAUCGCUACCCGCAAUCACAAUGGCUAGACUUUUGGAUAUUAUGUGCUCAGCUUUCUCUUUUCCCACAAAGCCUUUUACUUUCUCUAUAUAUUCUUGAAAAUAUGUCAACUGGUUUGACAUCGGUAUUGCGCUCUUAGGUAUAACAUUGGUAACACAUGAAAACAAAAAUGUUAUCAAAUGAAAUUAGGUUUUAAAAUUAAUUAAUUAAGGAAAGGUAAUUCGAACGGCGAAGGAUAGUCCGAUGUUAUUACUACAACGAUAGGUGUCAAAGGAUCGAAGCCAGAACCACCCGAAGCAAAUGAUACACCAGUAAUGAGAUCUUCUUGGGUUAGCCCUGGCUUCAAGUAUGGCGGUAAAGUUGGUUUUACUCCUAAAAAUUCCGCUGCGAAAGUAAAGACCAAAAAAGAUCAAUUUUAGUAAGAAUGUUUCCACUGAAAAUACAAAAAAAAAAUAUUCAUUCUUAAGCUGACGCGAUGCCAUCUUAUGUAGUUUUUUUUUUUUGAGAAUGAUCUUACGUAGUUAUGAUGAUAAUAUUUUACGUAUAAGUUUAUGUAUUAAUAAUUUCUAUUUUUAGACCAAUUAAACCAAUCCAAAAAUUUAAGAUAUGAAAUGGAACAAAGUUAAUGUAAUAGGCAAAUAGGGUCGUCGUUACUGUGCGAGUGGCAAUCAUUAGUUAUGAUUUUCUUUGUUUACUAAGCGUCUUUGUUAAAUAUUUUUCUAUGGAUUUUUUUCAACUUUUAUUUUGUUGCAUCUUUUUCAAACUUAAGGGUGAAAAUUCAUAUAUUGUAAAAAAAAAAAUGUUAAUUAUGAUUAAUUUGAAAAAAAAACUUAAUGCAAAAAUGUACUAAAAGUAAAGGCAAAGUCACCUAUAAAAUCAGCAGGGAUCUUGCCAUUGCAAAAUCUACCGGUGGGAAGUCCGUGUGGAAAAUUCAUGCCAUAGGGGGGAAAAUUAGCUUUGACUAAUGUUGAAAUGUAAUCGUUAUUUCCUGUGUCUACAAUUGAAUCCCCAAAUGCAAAGAUCGCAGGAAACGUCGUGUUGCGUGGCCUAGGGAGCGAGGGUGUCGGAGCUGGCCCUGGACUUGGACAUGGACAUGGCUUUGGCUCUGGAGCCGGGGUUGGCCCUGGACUUGGAGAUGGCUUCGGCUUUGGACUCGGUUGUGGAACCGGGGCUGGCCUUGGACUCGGCUCAGGAACUUGCUCUAAGUGUCUAGCUGAGGCAACGAAGAAGAUAAAAAAGAGUGGGAGGAACAAAACACAUCGGAAUAGUUUGGAACACGAAGGCGAAACAACAUUAUAUUUCAUCAUAUUGGUUAUAUGUUCUUACACGUCUGAUAAGGAAAAAAAAGAACUUGUUACGAAGCUCCGGAAUAUAAAGGAGUGUAAGACAAAAAGAAAUAGUAUAAGUGUCUCUAUUCAGAUAAAAAUAAAUUGCGGACACAAGCAUGCGGUUUUGAUGGUUACAAGAAGAAGAAACUUGUCUUCUAUGGCUUCUUCUCAUUCACACAUUCCGAACUUUCCUGAUAUUACGUAAUUCAUCACUAGUCUCACUCUCGUUUUGCAUUAUUUUAUAUACACUACUUCAACAAUAUUGUUUCUAUCCAAAGAAAGUAAGAAAAUAGAACAUGCUUCCAUUUAUUAUUUAUAACAACUCGAACAAGUGAUCAAAAAAACACGGGCUCGAGCUAGGAAGAAGUAUCGAAAAUAACAAGUGAUCACACAAACAUGAGCUCGAGGAAGAAGAAGAAGAAGAAGUAUCGAAAAGAAUACUGAGUUUGUUGAAGUUUUAUAAUACCUUUGAAUAUUCUAUUUACCCCCAUUUCUCGCACGCAUGUUAUAGACGUGAGUCAUGACUAUAGUACAACUGCACAUAAUAUGAUACAAGAGAGGAAGAUGGCAUGUUUGCAUACAAACGUGAAACCCGAUUAGUUAGAUAUGUCAAUUACGUUGGACUGUUGCGUUUAAACGUAUAUCCUUGACUAGCAAACUCAAAACGCUAAAGGCCAUGGUAUAAAACUAUAAAUGGGUGUUGUAGACCUUUGUUGUUAUUGCUGUUGUCAGAGUUAUGGACUCUAUGUUGCACUUAAUUCAUUUCAAUGGUGACAUGACCAUAAUCAUUAAUAAGUAGCAAAAUAUAUGCAUUACACUAAGGAUCAGCUCGUAUAGAUAUAUAAAUGUUAUACUAUACGACCAUAAAAAGGGCAAGUUUCCCAGUUUAUAUCUCUCACAUGAACACAAUGAAAUCAUAAUGUAAUUUAUAUCUCUCGGAGAAUCUAAAUGGUCAGACAUUUAAACAAACAAUCAGUCAUCAGAGAGAAACAAGACUGUUCAUCACCCGAAAGACUUUCAUAUACACAACACAAAGGGGAAGCAACACCCACAUGAGACACGACCAACAACUUAUUUCGUUGUAAUCAAACACAAUUCAAUAAGAAAUGAUCAAAUCUCAUACAUUUAACUGAUAAUAUAUGUCAUCCUGUCAACCAACAAAGAAAGCGGGUAAGAUGAUGAUCAAUGCGCGCUAAAACAAGGAAAGGAUUUUGGCAAACCCCGCACUCUAUGGUCUCUGAUCCUGAGAUAGGAACCUGGGUCUUCCCUGCAUUUCGAUGGAGGAAGAUGAUAACAGCAGUGAUGACUGGCUUCUUCGACAAAAGAAGGCUCCUGUCAAGUCUUGUAUGAAUGAAGACAUGGUAUCUAGCUAAAAUGAAGAAGUCGGGAGAUUCAUGUUUCCGUAGACCCCAGUAUUUGCCUGAAGUGGAGAUUUUUUCAUUGCCAUACACAGUCCUGUUUUAGGCCUGUCCCCGUAAUUGUUUUGUUCUUCCUCAGCUUUAUAGCCUUAGGCCUUAGCUUGUACAGUUCCACUGAUUGUAACAAACACAAGUAUCAAUAAUACUUGACUGAUCUCUGACUCUAAUCUUGUACUAUUACUUGUGCUCAUUGACAUCAAUGAGUUUAUGACACCAACGAAGUUGGCUCUAGUUAUAGUUUCGAUCUGACAGCACGAGAUGGUUCAUAUCAUAUCUCAACCAAAUCACUUGCAUAUACAACAGCUUGAAAGCAUAAACAAAAAUAUUGCCAUAUUAAUUAGACUCGUAUGUCAAUACAGAAUGAUCCCAUGUCUACAUAGCAAAGAGUAGUACACACUUUGAACUCAAAAGAUACAACAACACAGCUUUGAUUUAAGCAACUAUACAAAAAGCUAACUCGAAAUGUCUCUCUUCACUAUCGUAAUUGUCAUAUAUUAUAAUCACAAGAAGGCACAACGGUUCUUGUUCUUUUUCUUAGUCUUCUUCUGCUUUGGUGGCUGAAGAACCACUUUUAUGGCUGCAUCAAACACUGCCUUCACAUUCUGUAGAAUCCAACAAACUUAAGCCUCAUAGUACGCAAAUAAUAAGAAGCAGUACAAGCAAUAUUUUUAUAUCUACCUGCUGAGUCUUUGAACUACAUUCAAUGUAGACAGCAGAGCCAAUCAGUUUCUUCAGUUCCUCUCCCUGCAUUAACAACAAUGGAACCAUGUUUCAUCACAAAGUGAUCAUCAUGGCGGAGACUAAUAACAACCAUACACCAUAGUACAAGAAUCAAGUACCUGGUUUGUAGUAAUAGGAACUGCACCUGGAUGAUCUAUGAAGAAUUGCUUGUCAUCUCGAAGAUCUGCAAAUCCCAAAAAAAAUUCACAAUCUCACAUGGCCAUACAAAACUCUGUAAAAAGCUAUGAAGAUGACCAAAGAUAGCAUGAUGAGUUCAAGAAGGAAAGAUGGAUACCAAGUUUUGUACCAACGAGGAUAAUGGGAACACCAGGAGCAUAAUGCCUGAGCUCCGGAAUCCACUGAGAGAGAUAACAAAAUCAAAUUAGACUUUUUAUACUCAUCAUAAGUUAUAUAGAAGAGGCAAAACCUUCUUGGCGAUAUUCUCGUAGCUAGCCUUGCUGAUGAGGGAAAAAGCAAGAAGGAAUACAUCUGCUCCACGGUAACUCAGAGGUCUUAACCUGUUGUAGUCUUCUUGACCUGUUUUCAAAAAAAAAAAAAACAAGUGAAGACCGAAUGUUCCAAAACGGUGUCCCACAAGCCAAGAUUUACAGUGUUGCCAUCAACAACCACAUUAGCACUGAAGUUGUCGAAAACGGUUGGAACAUAGUCCUGAGAGAUUCACCAGUUCACAGGUUUUAUGUUAGAUCGUCCACACGAGCUUCAUGGUUAAUGAUUUGGCCAUAAAUAAAUUAGAAAAAGAAAAAGAAAAUAGAAAUUACAGUAGGGAAAAUGUUGCUGGUGUAAGAAAUCAGCAUGCAGGUUUUUCCGACAGCACCAUCUCCGACCGUAACACACUUUAUGAACCUUGACGCGCUCAUCUCCGCCGGAUCGUAUAAAUUCCCUUUUUCGUGCUUAUUCCUCAAAUCAUUCCUAAUAAGCAAAGCCUGUGUAUCGCACUCUAUAACUAGAAUCGAAGUCGUAAGCUUGUGAAUUUGAGAAGCCACCAAAAAAAAUAUAGCAGAGAAGAAAGGAAGAUGCUUAAUGUGGCGGUUGAUUGAUGACUUUGAGAUGAUUGAUACUUCAAUACAACUAUGUUACAGCUCCCACCUCCCGUAUAAUACUUUUUAUUUAUUUAUUCAACACGUAUUUUUUAUUAUCAAAAUUUGAAAAUCUCUUUUUCUUUCUUUCUUUAUUUUCGCGGAUUUGAAUUUUGAAUGAGAGGAAGGAUCUAUCUGUUGGUUUUAUGAAAACAAGAAAAAUGCAAAUGUCACAAAUGUGUUUAUAUUAAAUACAUUUACUACAGUCUACAGAGUUCAUAGUAUUGCAAAAAAAAAAUCAAAUAAAAUUACGUACGAGAGACUUUAUGGUUUAUUUCUAUAAGUUUAUAACUAUAGUAAGUAUAGCAAAAUAUGGAGAGGCACAUCGGAUUUGGCAAAUAUCAUCAUCAUCAAGAACGUGCCACAUAGUGUUACGGCACGAUUCCGAAAUAUCAAAUUUCUUUCUUUCUUCUCUUGAUUUUCCUCAUCAGUUACCUACGGAUUAGGAAACAUAGGCGACGAGAGUCCAAAGGGACGUGCCCAAUUCUAAGUAAACCAAACAAUAACGAUCCACCACGUCACUGAGUGCCCCAUCACAGAAUCAUAAUCACACCAGUUGGUAGCUUCGUUUUUAAAUUCAUGAAUCAUAGUUAGUACUUAGUAGUAUGUCUAUUGACUUUUAACUAUGAUCAAUCCAAUCACAUUGUGUUACAAAAAGUCUAUAUUUGCUAACAAAGAAAAAGUCUUGUAUAUUUGGAAAAUGCAGUUUGUAUUUCCAAACAUUCGUAUAAUAAUAAUAUUUGUUUGUUUAAACCACUCAUUCUUUGAAACUGAUUGUAUGCAUGCAGGUGCGGAGAUAGAAUGUAUUUUACAACUCAGAGAUUAUAGGAAGUGAUUGUGGAACUAAACAAAGAGAAUAAACGAGAAAUUGGGAAAGAUAUGAAGUUCACCAAAUCAUUAUAUCGGAGAAUUUAAGAUUACUACACAUACCAUUCCUACCAACUAUUCACCAACCAGUAAUUAACCAUCCCACUUUUCUUUAUUAACUAACUCAAACUCAACUAUUAUAUUUGAAAAUAUUAUCAUUGAAUUAAUAACCAUAAUGAUGGAAAUCAUAAACUAUAUUUUAGUGUGAUUUUGACACCAAAACAUUUUCAAGAUCUUUGGAUCCUACAAUGCCAGCUAGGCCGGUUUGCCUCUUAGCUCCAGUUUUGCAUCCGAACAUGAGAGUCAAUGACCUUAUUAAUCAGGAAUCACAGGAAUGGGAUGUUGGUUACUGAAAGAUUAUGUUGCCCCUGAAAAUAUACUUUUCAUAAGGAAUUUGGCCAUAAGCUCAAAUCAUUGCCACGACACAUUCUGCACUAAGAAUGGCCAGUACACGGUUUAAUAAAGAUAUUGGGUAGCUCGCAAGUUUUGAAGGUUGAGGAUGAGAAGGAAGUACUCGAGCCCAGUAUAACGAAGUUUCAAACAUUUGCUUGGAUGAUAAAAUCCCCACAGAAGAUAUGUCAUCUUAUAUGGCAAUUGAUAACAGUUCAUGUGGCAGUAAAAAAAGAAUCUGAUAAGGCGUAACAUGAGAUGCGAUAACUAUUGCCCACAAUGUGGAAAACCAUAAGAAUAUGUUACUCAUAUAAUUUUUGAAUGCCCAUCAACUCUACAAGUUUGGACCUUAUCAGCGACGCCAACAAGCCCAAAUAUCUUCCAUCUCCCGAGUAUCUAUGCUAAUAUGGAUUAUCUCUUAUGGAGAAAAAACAACAUUGUCGAGUCAUAUUUAGACAGAGAUUCUUAUCCCUGGAUAAUCUGGUACAUUGGAAGACCAGAAAUGAUAAACUUUUUAGGGGGAUAGACAAAAAUCCUUUGGAGCUAGUUUUCUAUGCAGAAAGUGAGUGUCACGCCUCGUCAAUGCAAACGAGAUGGUGCCAUCAACUCCACAAGACCAUAGUAUUGACGAACCUCAAGUCUUAAGCUUGGGUAAUAUAUGUAUGAUAGAUGAGACAUGGACAUCUACAGCACCGUUCCGCGGGUGUGAAGGGUUUGGAUGAACAGCUUCGGGAAGGUUCAACUUAUGGGAACACGAAAUUAUAUUCGGCGAGAGUCUGCCAUGCAUUCAGAAGUAGAAGCACUGAGAUGGGCGAUGUAGAGUAUGCUUCAGUACUCGUCAUGUCAAAGCUUCAGAACGGACUGCAAGGAUUUGAUCUCCAUGAUUAAGGAGCCCCAUGCUUGGCCAAGUUUUGCGACAUAAUUUGAAAGGAUAGAGACUGCAAAUAUGCUUUCCGGACUUCAAUAUUACUCAUAUUGCACGAGCGCAAAAUCAGAUUUCAGACUUUUUAGCUAGGAUGGUAAAGUCUUUCCAUAGAGAGCUUUAUUAUAUUGGUUGUUUUAUUCCGGUCUGGUUAUCCAGACUACCUCAAGUUUGAGUAAUAUAAUAGUCUUUCGUUGUAAAAAAAAAAGAAAAAGACACCAAAACCUUCUCUAACCCAAUACUAAAAAUCACACCAUUUUAGUGUAACACUAUAAUUUCACACCAAAUUUGGUGUGACAUUGUUUACUAUAAUAAAAUACUAUUUACUUAUUUUAUCUACUAAUAAUAGCAAUCCCAAUUAAUUCCAAAGGUUGUGAGUCCACUUAUGUUGAAAGGUUGUAUCUUUUGAAAAACUAGUGUAAAGGGUUGUGUCUUUUCUAAAAGUUCUAUGUUGUAAGGUUGUGUCUUUUCCAAUUAAUUUCUAAGGUUGUGAAUCCACUUAUGUUGAAAGGUUGUAUCUUUUGAAAAACUAGUGUAAAGGGUUGUGUCUUUUCUAAAAGUUCUAUGUUGUAAGGUUGUGUCUUUUCCAAUUAAUUUCUAAGGUUGUGAAUCCACUUAUGUUGAAAGGUUGUAUCUUUUGAAAAACUAGUGUAAAGGGUUGUGUCUUUUCUAAAAGUUCUAUGUUGUAAGGUUGUGUCUUUUCCAAUUAAUUUCUAAGGUUGUGAAUCCACUUAUGUUGAAAGGUUGUAUCUUUUGAAAAACUAGUGUAAAGGGUUGUGUCUUUUCUAAAAGUUCUAUGUUGUAAGGUUGUGUCUUUUCCAAUUAAUUCUUAAGGUUGUGAACUUCAAUUAUGUUGAAAGAUUGUGUCUUUUGAAAAAUAUGUGUAGAGGGUUGUGUUUUUUUCUAAAAGUUAUAUGUUGUAAGGUUGUGUCCUUCUAAAAAUAGUCUAAAAGUUGUGACUAUUCACUAGUAUCUUUUAAAAAGUGAGAAGUUGUGAGUAUUAGAAGAAUGCGACUAUUCAUAUUGAAGGGUUGUGACUAUUCAAAUAGGCUUUAAAAAAUCUAUAAAUAGUCUCUCCCAUGCAUUUUUCAAAUCAAAAUUUCACUAAUCUACUAAUAAUAAAAUGGUGAAAAAAAUAAUGUCAAAGUUGCAACUUUUCAUCUAAACAAGGUAUCUUUUCAUCUCAAAGUGGGAUUGCUUUAAAAAAUAUUGGUUUUAUUUAAGUAAUGUGUUAGUUUAUAUAAUAAUUGUUGGUAUUUUAUAAGAACUCUCUCAAAAAUUAAAAAAAAAUAUUAUAAAUGAGACGGGUCAUAUUAACGUAAAUCAACAUAUAUUUAUUACAAUAUUCAAUUUUCUAAAUAUUCAUUUUUAAUAAAUAAAGCAGGUAGAUAAAUAUACAAAAUAACAAUUACCAACAUAUAAAUUAUAAUUGUUUAAAAUUAUAAACUAAUAAUUUUAAUAUUAUGUCUUAAAUAGGAAAAAAAUUUAUAUAUCAUGCAAAAAAAAAAUUGCAUUUUGUUCAAAAAGUGGUUGAAGAUAACUAUCAUGUGAAAAAUGUAUGAAAAAACUUAAAAAGGAUGAAGACACAAUUGUAUGCAAUAUGUGUUUUGAUAAAAAAUUAAAGGGAACAUUAAGGUUUAUAAAAUAUAUAUAUAUAUAUAUAUAUAUAUUUGAAUACUUUGUAAAUCAUAUUUUAAUCAUCAAAAUUAAAUUUAAUUAUUUAUAUGAUUUAAUUUUUUUAUCAGGCAUAUAAAAUUAUAAAUUAUAGAUUAUAAUAUAUUCUUUAUAAAAUGAGUUCCCGUGCGAUAUCGCACGGGCUCUUUGCCUAGUUAAUAUAAUAGACAAUUAAAUAAAUGAUAAAUAUAAAUAUAAAUACAUAUAAUAUUAUAAAAUAGUUUUUAGUGUAAAGUUUGGUGUUGUAGUUAGAGAAAUAAAAAAAAAUUGGUACAAGAAUUACAUUAAAAUAGUGUAAUUUUGACAUUAAAAUAGUGUUAUGGGUCGAAGAUGCCCUAAAACAUAGUUGGUGUCUCCAUUUUCCAAGAAGCUGCAAGCUAAAUCAGAGAAUUCUUAUUGGGUCUGUUAAUUAAAUAUCAAAAAAUAAAGUUGUCCCCAGCAAUUUCCAUGAGGUCCAUUACGCUUAAAAUUAAUUCAUAGUUUAUCUAGAGAUGUUACGUACAGAGCAAGGAACUCGAAACCAAAAAAGUGUUCUGUCAUCAGCCAGCCCUCGGAGAAGGAAACACAGACCUUUGGUAUCAAGAAGAAGUUCUCCACUGAAGCUCAAUCUGAAUCCGACCAUUCUUGGAAUCAAUCAGAUUAUACUUAUCGUUGAUUCUCCUAUUACUCACAACAUCACCAAGAUUUAUCACCACAUAUCCAAGAGUUUCCUGAUAUAGAGAAAAAAGAAAACACUCUGUCAAGUUCUUGUUCUUGCUCGAAGAUCUUCAGAUGAAUUAUAAAGAUCUUGUAUUAUACCUUAGGAUGCAUAUUUAAACCUAUUCGUGAAGUAGUACUUAUGACUUCAACGUGAAGCUUAUCGUUUAUGGGAGGUUCAUCUAAUGGAAAUUGAAAAUCUUCAUCCCAUCUUGGCUCUCUGUUUUUCUUUACACGCUGCAUAUCAAACCAAAUAUAUAUCAAAAACCUAGGGUCGGAUUUGAGAAUUAGAGGGCCAAAAACUUUUUUAGAUUCAUCUUAAUAAUUUUUUUUAACAAUUUGGGUAGCAUGUCAGUCUCUAUAUAAUAUGUUUUUAAAAUUAAGGGGCCAAAACGAAUGUUUCAUCAUGAUGUGCCUAGAACCAGCCAUGCAAAAACCCUAGAGUUAAUGUUCUUUGCAGUUUGAUUUUGAGUUUAAGAGUGUUUUUUGGUACCUUUGUUUUACGUUCUUCUCCUUUGAACAUCAAACGAACAGAAGGGUUUGUGUGAUAUUUGCCUUCUAAAUCUUCAGCUUCAUGAACAAUAACCACAAGCAACCCACCACCAGAAGGUGUGCCUUCUGGUGCUUUCUCUACUGCAUUUGGAUCAUCUAAGUUGUCUGGGAUGUCAUCUUCUUUAAAGGAUUUAUACUCCACUUCAACAACAAGCUGUCCAUGCGAUUUCUCGCUAACUGGCUCGUUUGGUUCCAUGGAUUUUAAAAGCUCAAGUGUCAUGAGCUUUGGCUCCUCUGGAGUAAGGUCUUUAAGUUGAAUCACAUUCAUUCCUAUCUUAUCAUGUUUACCAACCUGAGUUUGGUCAAGAAGAUAGAAGGAUAGCAAAUGAGAGAUUGUCAAAAAAAUGUGAAUCUAAGUAGCAAAAAAAAGAGCGAUUUGUAGUUGUUGGUGUUACUUGUUCCCAGUCAUAAACAAUGAGCUGAAGUUCUUGACUCUCUGGUUCUUUGACAACUAAAUCGAAUUCUUCGUUCCACUCAGGAUUUAGAUUGCUGUGUUUAACAACUGUCUUCUUACCAGGAACUUUGUCACCGGAGAGUGUUAAUUUCACAUAAGGGUCUGAUCCAUCAAGAAGAUCUUUUUUCUUAAGCUUUAUUGCCUUAAUGACUUUCACAUUAAGCAAUCCAACAUGUUUCUUCAUUGCUCUGCAUGUCAUGAGAUUCAAGAUUUAGCAAAUACUCAAACAGAAGUAGAAGUGAGACUUUAAGUAGAAAAAGAACUUACUUAGAAGGAUCCAUUAUCUGUACAGUCAAAGUCUUUGGCCAUAGGUACAUGUUUGCAACCUGAUCUUUAAUGAGUUCCUACAAUAAGAAAAUAAUCAAGAAACGGUUCUUUUAGAGUUUAAGGUCCGAAUAGAAUGUUUGCUUUGAUUGGAAGGAAUCAUUGUACCUGGACAAAGCGGUAUAGGCCAGGAAUGGCCAUUACGUCUGCACCAAGUAACUUCAGUCCAAAGUCUACUUGGGGCUGCAGAAGAAAUCACAUUUUAGACUCUCUAUGCGUAUUAAGGUGUUAUUUGCUCCAUUUGGAUUAGACCUUAUCCAUGAGGGAGACAAAUAUGUUGGCAAAACAGGGAAAAGAAGGGACCAACGGCUUCAGAGUAAUCCUUGGAGUAGCAAAUACUUGCAAAUCAAUCACCUGAUGAUACAAACUUGCAAUGCAAGUAGUCACAAAAGAUGAAAAGGCUUUUCUUGGAGAUGCAGCGAACAAAAACUUACCUGGACAGUAGCUUUGAACCCAAAUGCUUUGACUGCAACAAGGAUAUUAGGGUUCCCUGCCCAUUUCACUGACAACUCCAUGAUAAUUUCUUUGUCAUCAGUUGCAUAAACUUUCAUUCCUGCAAAUAAGGGUGAGAAUAAAAAUAAACAACAAGGAAGCAGAAUCUUGAGGACAAGAUUGUUUAUUUAUAAGUGUUAAAUAACACUAGGAUAAAACUUGGAAAGUUGGUGGUAAUCCCAAAGUGAGCAUUUCAAAUUCAACUGAAUCUAUUUUGUAGUUUGGAAUUUGUUCAGCAAUAAUUGGUUUUGCAAUAGACUUGGCCAUGUUGCAAAUAGCCUGAAAACGUUAUAGGGAACAAUGGUUAUAGUAACUGAGGACUAAAAAAAAAACAUGAAGCUAUGAAGAAGAAGAAGAAGACUUUACCUUGUUCAUAUAAGGCCACAUAUGGCCAAUGAGCUUGUUAAGCCAAUCAAUCUACAGAGAUUAGAGAGACUUUGUUUCAAUAUUUUAGACCAUGCAUAUAUAUUAUCAUUCAAGUAAGAGUGUCUAAGAGGAAGUAUAACAUACACGAUCAAAAUCUGGAUUUUUCACCCACAAAGGUAUCUCAGGAAACAUUGUUGAUAUAGUCUCUGAAUCUAACUCCACCAAUGGCUUUAUAUCAGGAUCCUGAUCAUGGAUUGAACAAAUAAUAUAUAAAUAAGUUAACCAAUACGAACAUUGUAAGAAAUUAAAAGAGCUCAGUUUCAAAUUUUCUAACAAUUUUAAAAUUAAUCCCCAAUUCAACUUCCCCAUUUUGUUUCAACUUUAAGAAUCGAAUAUAAUCACACAGAACUUUUUAAAGAAAAUAAAGCAAAGUGAUCAUAUAAUUUCAUGAAUGCAAAAAUUAUCAAAUAUAUAUAGGCAAGAUUCGUCGCAUUUUAACGGGAAAACAAUCGUCGAAUGUCAUGUUGAGAAAUGUAUUAAACAAAAUAUUUGAGAAGAAGAUUGAAAGAUGCCUGAACAUCAGUAGACUGGUGAUAGAUGAAUAAGUAGUAACCGAUAACGAUCCCAACCGUCGUCCCGAAUCCGAAACCAAACGUACCCAAUAUUGUGCUGAUUAUUCCCAUCUCUCAUCAAAUUCAAAUCUCCUGGAGAGGAAUAAAAACUCUUCCUAUUCGUCUUACUUAGAACGACGAUGAAAUUAAAUAUACAAAGAGAAAAUCAAUUGAUGAAGGGGGCAUUACGUUAGAGAAAGUGAAGUCCCCAAAACCAUAUUUACUAUUUUCAUUCACUUGAGAGAAAUUUUAUUUGAGACUUAAGAAACGGUGUGGAAUAAGAAACUUUCAAGAGCGUUAUGUACGGACUCUCUGUACUAAGUCCAUUUGUUCAGAUGGAUUUUAUUGUUUCAACCAAACCUUUGCUUAGACUUUUCGUUUCCCAUUUUUUGCGUAGUCGUUAAUCUUCUAUUUUAAUGUGUAUAACAUUUUCUUUUCUUGUUUCCCACCAUCUUGUUUUCUUAGUAGCGUUAAGAUACAUUCUUGUUUUAUUAAUCAACUAAAAAGCAUGCUCUUAUUAAAAAAAAAAUCUCUAGUACACGAUAUUUAUCCAAACGACGUAAAAAAAAAACUUAUAACAUCCGUCUGCUAAGAGCAUCUCCAAAAAAGAACUAUAUUUUGAAGUUUCCAAAACUCUAUAUAUGAAGUUUAUAGGUGUUUUUCUCCAAAAACAAAACUUGAAAUUCAACUUCAAAACUAUUUGUAUUUUAUAAUAUGGUCCUUAUAUUUGUCAUAAUUAAUUUGAAUUCAUAAAACUUUUAUAAAUAACUAGCACAUACAUAAAAAUAUUACAACAAUAUUAAUUAAUAAAAUAUUCUAUAAAAAUAUAAAAUUUAAAUAAAAAUAACUUAAUUAAUAUUUAACUUCAAACGAAAUAUCAUAUUAUUCCAUAAAAUGAUUUUCGUAAUGCAUAUAUGAUCUAUUAGUGCAUUUCGAAGUAAAAAUGGCUCUCCUCAUUUUUACUUUGUAGAUUACGAGUUAAAAAUUGUUGAAAUCGGAUGAUAUUGAUAUUUGUAAAUACAUAAGAUCGGAACAAGAAAGUAAAAGAAAAACAUAAAAUAUUGCUAAAAAACUAAUUCUUUUUUGAUGAUAUUAAUACUCGUGAAUAUAUUUGAUAUGAACAAUAAAGAAGUGUCCGAAAAAUACAUCAAAAACAACAACAACAACCAUCUUGAGUUACACAAAAAAAAUUGGACAAUAUUUGAAAAUUUUGAAGGUUACGGAUCAAACUUAACUACUAUUAGUGUUGUUGUAAUAUUUAAAUUUGUGUACUAGUUAUGUCUUCGUGUAAUUUUAAAAAAUAUUUUUUGUCAAGUUUUUUUGUAUAUUAUUGUUGUCUAAAUCUAGUUUAAAAUAUUUUAAAUCUUAUUUAAAAUUUUUAUUUAAUUUUAUGUGUAAACUUUAAAAUCUGUAAAAAAAAAUUAAAAUAUAUAUAUGAGAUCUAACUUUUUAAGGAUUAAAAUAGUAAAAAAGAAAAUAUUUAUGAAUUAUAAAGGUGAUGUGUGAUUAUAGGGACCAAAAUGCAAAUAAAAAUAUGAAACUUCAAAUUUGAAGUUUUGAGUAGUGAAACUUCAAUUAUAGAGUUUCACUCUUCAAAACUUCAAAUUUAAAGUUUUGAAGUUUCGUUUUGGAGAGCAAAAAACUUCAUAUUUGAAGUUAUAAAGUGUCUAAGAGCAUCUCCAAAAGACACUCUAUUUUAAAGUUUUCAAAACUCUAUAUUUGAAGUUUAAAAAUGUUUUACUCCAAAAACAAAAUUUCAAACUUAAUUUCAAAACUAUUUAUAUUUUAUGCUAUGGUCCUAUAUUUGUUAUAAUUAAUUUGAAUUCAUCAAACUUUUGUAAAUAACUAGCACAUAUAUAUAAAUAUUAAAACAAUAUUAAUAAAUAAAUAUUAUAUUAAAAUAUAAAAUUUUAAAUAUAAUAACAUAAUUAAUAUUAAACUUCAAGGAAACCACCA
rnacentral:lncRNA from 1 species